CUGGGGUCUGCGGUGCUGCACGUGAAUGCCGGCCCCGUGUGGAGCUGCGGAGAGGCCGCGGCGGGUUGCCGAUCGCCGGGUGCGGUGCCAAUAGACAGCCUUUAGUCCCGGAGUGAGCGAGGAGCCUACUGCCCCCACCGUCCCCGGCUGUGUAUGAUCGUAUUUCCCCUCCUCAUUCGCCGAAGAUUUUCAAUGAGAAGGAGCGUCCUAGCGCCACGCUCGUUCAGUCCCUGCAUGCUAGACAGCAUCCGAGCCCCGAUCUAACCCCCAUGUCUCUCCCUAGACGCCCCUCUUUUUCUCUGAGUGCUCCUGCGGCAGGCAGUGCUCUCGGUCUGCUCUUUCACACCCUAACUGGGGCUAAUGAUAUGCCAGCGUUUGUCUUGAAGCUUGCUUUCCUGUUUGUGAGGUACUUCGCCAUCCUGCCAGGAGAGGUGCUGGAGAAGCACAAGCACAGUGCAAGGGCCUGCUGAGGAGAGCUGCAGUCCAUGAACACAUGUCUUCUUGUCUCUGUAGCAACAGGACUUGCUAGCCCACCCCUAUCCGUGCCAUCUAAUAAUGAGUCCAGUGGGAAAAGGCUGCUGUGCUUUGGAAGCCCACGACAACCUCCUGGCUGGGAAGACUGAAUUCUAAAGCAUCUGAGCCAGCCUGCCUGCAGCUGCCCAGCAGUGCUCCACGUGACCCCAGUAAAGUGAGCUCAUCUGACCCCGGUAAGAGCACUAGGAUUGGAAGAGACCUCAGGGAAGGAUCCCAGUUACUGGCCAGCUACACAG